AUGACCAGGGGACUGACUCUCCUUGUUCCCAGGUGUCCCGUCCCAGUGCAGCUGCAGGAGUCGGGCCCAGAACUGCUGAAGCCCUCACUGACCCUCUCCUUCACCUGCGCCAUCUCUGGUUACUUCAUCACCAGUGGUUAUGGUGGGAACUGGAUCCACCAGGCCCCAGCAAAGAGGCUAGCAUGGAUGCGGUGCAUAUAUUAUAAUGGUGACACUCACUACAGCCCCUCCAUCAAGAACCACACCUCCAUCUGCAGGGACACAUCCAAGAACCAGUUCUCCCUGCAGCUGAGCCCUGUGACCACUGAGGACACGGCCGUGUGUCACUCUGCAAGAGACACAGUGAGGGGAAGUCAGUGUGAGCCCAGACCCAAGUCACCCUCCGGGGGCCUCCAUGACCACGAGCGGGUGCUGGGGACACACAGUGGUGUUGUGCAGGUGCAGGAGCAGAUGGUGGUUGACAGCUGGUCUGCUGUCAGGACCUGGGGCUUCCUCUCCUUGUAGCAGUUUUCCUGGGGAACGUCUCUGCGUUCAUGACGCUGUAGGUGCCUACUCAGCCUCUGAGGCAGAAUGGUGUGUUGGGAGAGGAGACCACAUCCUCACUGCACGAAAGGCACAGUCUCUUAGGGUUGCUUCCUCUUGUCACUUAUGUCUGUUCUCCGGACAUUUGGUGUAAGCUGGCUGAGUCCACAGGAGAGGCUCUGCGUGACUCAGCAGUGUGGCUCAGCACAGCAGGGCCAGGGAAAGAGCUAGCCAGCGGUCAGCCGUGUAAGUGCAUGCUGGGCUCAGACAACAGAGGUGUGUAAACCCAGAGCCAGGAAGAAACCCCCCCCCCAACACCACCACCUUGGUGGUGCGAACUGAACUGACACUUCACUCACAGCACCAGCCACAGUUCUCUCCAUGGAGACGCAGCAGGACCUCCACGCCAGC